rnacentral:misc_RNA from 1 species
UACGUAGGUGGCGAACGUUGUCCGGAUUCACUGGGCGUAAAGCGCGCGCAGGCGGGUAGGUAAGUCUGAGGUGAAAGCUCCCGGCUCAACUGGGAGAAGCCCUUGGAUACUGCUUACCUUGAGACACUUAGAGGAGAGUGGAAUUCCCGGUGUAGUGGUGGAAUGCGUAGAUAUCGGGAGGAACACCAGUGGCGAAAGCGGCUCUCUGGGAGUGUUCUGACGCUGAGGCGCGAAAGCGUGGGGAGCAAACCGG